CGUGUAGGCGGUCAGGUAAGUAGAAUGUGAAAUGCCCCGGCUCACCCGGGGACCGGCAUCCCAAACUGCCUGGCUUGAGUAUGGGAGAGGAUGGAGGAAUUCCUGGUGUAGCGGUGAAAUGCGUAGAUAUCAGGAGGAACACCGGUGGCGAAGGCGUCCAUCUGGCCCAAUACUGACGCUGAGGCGCGAAAGCUAGGGGAGCAAACG
rnacentral:rRNA from 1 species